AAGAGGCACAGGAAUUCCCAGGCAAGAAAUACAGAUAGUAAAAGCUGUUGCAUGGAGCUCCUGGAAGGCUGGUGAGCAGCAAAUGGAUAAGUGAAGCUAUUCACAUCUUCCAAACUCUGAGACAAGACAUCCUGGGACAAAUCACUGUGAGGACUGCAGCCAGUUAUGGCAGAAGGUCCCGUAUCACUGAAUCUGGAGCUGGAGGGGUCCAGGAGACACCAGCAGUCAUGUUGCUGGAGAUACUGAUCAGCCAGAGAAUACGCGUCUGUGAACUGGGUAAAUCCAGGGGCAGGACUGGA